rnacentral:rRNA from 1 species
GAUAAACGCNGGCGGCGCACAUAAGACAUGCAAGUCGAACGAACUUAACCAUUAGUUUACUAUUGGAGCGGUUAGUGGCGGACUGGUGAAUAACACGUAAGCAACCUGCCUAUCAGAGGGGAACAACAGUUAGAAAUGACUGCUAAUACCGCAUAUGCCUUAGAAUCACAUGGUUCAAAAGGGAAAGGAGCAAUCCGCUGAUAGAUGGGCUUGCGUCUGAUUAGCUAGUUGGUGGGGUAACGGCCUACCAAGGCGACGAUCAGUAGCUGAACUGAGAGGUUGAACGGCCACAUUGGGACUGAGAUACGGCCCAGACUCCUACGGGAGGCAGCAGUCGGGAAUAUUGCGCAAUGGAGGAAACUCUGACGCAGUGACGCCGCGUGCAGGAAGAAGGUUUUCGGAUUGUAAACUGCUUUAGACAGGGAAGAACAAAGACAGUACCUGUAGAAUAAGCUCCGGCUAACUACGUGCCAGCAGCCGCGGUAA